AGGUAGAUGCACCUUAAUUGAAUCAUAGCCCUCAGCCAUUGGCUGGGGGUUUUUAUU
rnacentral:sRNA from 1 species